CCAUUGCCGUUCAUGGUGCUCAUGGAUGAUGCAACCCUGCUCCUCGCCAUGCCUAGGAGAGGGUGUUGACAAGUUGAGCCCUCAAUUGUUGGAUGUUACUACCAAAAUUGAUCCAUGCAGAGCACCACCUGCAGGAGUUUUCUUAUAUAAUGACCCACAAGUACUUCUUAGGCAGUAUAAUAUAU